rnacentral:rRNA from 1 species
UGGGGGAUAUUGCACAAUGGGCGAAAGCCUGAUGCAGCGACGCCGCGUGGGGGAUGAAGGCUUUCGGGUUGUAAACCUCUUUCGCUAUCGAACAAGGCCCGCCUAGGGUGGGUUGAGGGUAGGUGGAGAAGAAGCGCCGGCUAACUACGUGCCAGCAGCCGCGGUAAUACGUAGGGCGCGAGCGUUGUCCGGAAUUAUUGGGCGUAAAGGGCUUGUAGGCGGCUUGUUGCGCUGGCUGUGAAAACGCGGGGCUUAACUUCGCGCGUGCAGUGGGUACGGGCAGGCUUGAGUGUGGUAGGGGUGACUGGAAUUCCAGGUGUAGCGGUGGAAUGCGCAGAUAUCUGGAGGAACACCGAUGGCGAAGGCAGGUCACUGGGCCAUUACUGACGCUGAGGAGCGAAAGCAUGGGUAGCGAACAGG